CACGUAGGGUGCGAGCGUUGUCCGGAAUUAUUGGGCGUAAAGCGCGUGUAGGCGGCUUUGCAAGUCGGGUGUGAAAGCCCUCGGCUCAACCGAGGAAGUGCGCCCGAAACUGCAGAGCUUGAGUACCGGAGAGGAUGGCGGAAUUCCCCAAGUAGAGGUGAAAUUCGUAGAUAUGGGGAGGAACACCGGUGGCGAAGGCGGCCAUCUGGACGGAUACUGACGCUGAGACGCGAAAGCGUGGGUAGCAAACAGG
rnacentral:rRNA from 1 species